rnacentral:lncRNA from 1 species
AUUUAAUGCAGAUGAAUACAUUCACACCUUCAAAUCCUUAUGAAAUGCAACUCAUGCAUGAUUUCUUAAGGCAGCAGCAUCGCCUAUCGAUACCCUCACCUUCACCCUCCACAAGAUCCAGUGUAAGUAUUCUUCAAUGUUUGUCAGAUGCCAUGAGUAUGCCGAACAGUCUCUCAGUUAACUCAUUGACUUCCUUUUCAGCAGAUGUCAUCAGGUCUUGGUUUACUGGUCGAGUGCUCUGGCUGGUGAAAUAAAAGAGAGCAGUUCUUAUCAAACUUUAACACACUUAAAGUUGGACUUGAAGUAAAAAAUUGUAUAGAUUCUUUGAAUUGAUGCGUUUGGUGCAAGAUAGGCACUUCUCGAUUGUCGUUCAAAAUCUCCGCUAAUAUCUUACUCUUUGAAAGGAAAGUGAAGAUUCUGAAUAUGCUCUACAAUACUAAGAAUGCUCCAAAGAAAAUAUUCCAGAAAAAUCACCCACUAGAUUCUUCACCAAGACAUAAAUUAGCAGUAGAGACUCUAAAACACUGCAACCAAGAAGAGCCAAUCACUAUCACCUCAAUUGGUAGCAUCUUUUGACCAGGUCUAUAAUGUAAGAAUAAUUCAACUUUAAAAUUCAUUUUCCAAGAAUAUUUGUACUUCUCCUUGUUUCUGUCAAUUUUUCCAAUCGUUAUUGUUCCUUUUUCUCGCAGAGUCCAGGAACUGUAAACGCUCCGCAAAGACGAAGCUCCUCACCUGCUAAACUGACUCAUGUUCAGGGAACCAUUUUCGAAGAAGCAGCACCACUCAAACCAGACGAUGGAGUCAGCAUGCCUACCAAUAUGCUACUUCAACGAAGAACAAUUACUCCACCGAACACCAAUGCAUCCCUCCAACGCAAGUCUGGAGUUGCUUCAAUGGAGCAGAGUCCUCGCAUGCCCCUCUCGGUCACUGUUGAUAGCUCUCUGUCUCAGAAUUCAAGUGUCCCUGCAUCCAAUCUACCCGCAUCGAGUCUCCCUACUUCCAGUCCCCUUGUAGCGAGUAUACCUGCAUCUAGUCUACCCACAAUUAGUCACCCAGCAUCAAGUUUGCCUGCAUUUAGUCUUCCAGCAUCAAGUGGCUCGAUUCAGAAAUCGGAGCCUCGGUUUCCAGUGCUAAUCAAGCACCAGUAUCGCGCGAUAUUGAAGCAAAAAGUUUACCAUCUUCAUCGCUACCCUCAAUUGUAG